CAGUCACAGCAAGUGAGCUUGUCUUGGCCCUCUUGAGCAAUACUGAAUGGCUUUGUUUCCCAAACUUGUGACGGGUUCUGAGAGAAAGGCGUCGUCGAGCCAUGAACACUGCAGAACAGGCUUAAGCCAAGUGCUCCAUCUGAGGGAACAGGAACUGCUUGAAGAUCCCAUCUAGUCUCGAGAGUUGGCCGUCUCAUUUGACAUCUCAUGGGAAUCAAAAUGUGAUGAUUGUAUGAGAUUAACGAUCAAGGAGCUUAUGAUAUGCUGCAAGUUCUUUUGGUUCCAAAUGAAUUGAGUAUCAUUUGAUCAGAAGGGGUCCAUGGAAAUGGUAUCAUAUUCAUAAGAGGAAGCUUUAUUGGGACAGAGAGAGAGAGAGAAAGAGAGUUUGAAAGAAGAAUGGAGAACAGCAGGAAUUCAAAAGAGGUACUGCUAAAGGCUUAAAGGUGGGAAGGAAGGGAUAUUUCUGCAAUUUUUUAGAGUAAGAAAAGGAAGAUUUUUCUUCCUUUCUUUCACUUUUUCACUUUGAUUCAAUGUUUAAUUAUAUCAGUGUGUUCUUUAUAUGUAAUAAAAGAUGCAGAAUGUUGGAAUGUUGUCGAGAAAGAACGGAUAAAGGGUUUUGACGAAACCCUUCUCGAGAAUCGUUUAUAUGCAAAUCUAACCAACAGUGAUCAGAAGGCUUGUUGCUUGGAUUAAACUUGAAAGAACGACAU